UGCAGAGCUGCACCAUUUGUGCAGUUACACAUGUACCUAGGGCAGUGAUGAUUGUCUCGUUCCACCAUGUCACCUACCCUGUGCCCCUCCCCACACAGGAUUAGGGCAAAGGGGACCUGGCGUGAAGGAGACACCCAGGUGGCAGUGGGUAAAGACAGAGUUGCUGUUACGUCUGCUUAUUAGCCCAGUCUUAAAGCGCACGCCCAGGUCAUGCCUGGCUAGGGACACUGAGCUGCAACAUUAGGGGGACAGCUUUUCUGCCUGCUUGUUGGUGGGAUUGCCGCUCAUAUUAGCAACAUUUAGUGGGUUUAACUGAAGAGUAAAAACGCCAUGACCCGAAAGGCCGUUUAGGAAUCACUGGCACCACGAAUGCCUUCUUCAUUUUUGUUCUCCGGGCUUCUCAGUGGAAUCCCCCCCUCAUUUUUUAAUUGGCGAUUUGUAGUCACACGUUAUGGUAGGAUUUGUUGUUACAUAUUUGUUCAUGAACACAGUAACAGUAUCAUUCCUCAGCACUUCCCUUUUGCUCCCUGCCUCCCUCCCCUGGCCCCUUCAUCUGCUCCAGUGUCUCCCUUUAGUUUUACGAGGGGCACCCCCACCCCCCACUUUCUUUUGGGUUCUCUGCUAGUAGAGGCUACAGGUACACACUAUUCUCCGACCACCUGAGAACGUAGGACACAGUUGCCAGUUAGGAAAAGGAAAUUAUUG
rnacentral:lncRNA from 1 species